GUCUUUUUGAUUUUAAUUUAAAGUCUAAUCUGCCCACUGAUUAUAAUGAAGGGCCGCAGUAUUUUGACUGUGCAAAGGUAGCAUAAUCAUUAGUUUUUUAAUUGAAAGCUGGAAUGAAUGAUUGGACGAAAUAAUAUCUGUCUUUAUUUAAUAAAUUGAAUUUAAUUUUUGAGUUAAAAAGCUUAAAUUUUUAUAAAAGACGAGAAGACCCUAUAGAUCUUUAUGUUAAUUUAAUUUAAAGUAUUGAGGAUUUAUAUUUUUUAUAUUAUAUUUAGCAUUUUAUUGGGGUAAUAUUAAGAUUUAAUUAAUUCUUAAAUUUGAUUUCAUUAAUUAAUGUUUUUUUGAUCUUGUAUUAUGGGAUUUAAGAUUAAGUUACCUUAGGGAUAACAGCGUAAUUUUUUUAGAGAGUUCUUAUCGAUAAAAAAGUUUGCGACCUCGAUGUUGGAUUAAAAUUAAUUUUAGGUGUAGUAGUUUAAAUAUUUGGUCUGUUCGACCAUUAAAAUUUU
rnacentral:rRNA from 1 species